rnacentral:rRNA from 1 species
GACGAACGCUGGCGGCGUGCUUAACACAUGCAAGUCGAACGGUAAGGCCCUUCGGGGUACACGAGUGGCGAACGGGUGAGUAACACGUGGGUGAUCUGCCCUGCACUUCGGGAUAAGCCUGGGAAACUGGGUCUAAUACCGGAUAGGACCACUGCCUGCAUGGGUGGUGGUGGAAAGCUUUUGCGGUGUGGGAUGGGCCCGCGGCCUAUCAGCUUGUUGGUGGGGUGAUGGCCUACCAAGGCGACGACGGGUAGCCGGCCUGAGAGGGUGACCGGCCACACUGGGACUGAGAUACGGCCCAGACUCCUACGGGAGGCAGCAGUGGGGAAUAUUGCACAAUGGGCGCAAGCCAGAUGCAGCAACGCCGCGUGAGGGAUGACGGCCUUCGGGUUGUAAACCUCUUUCAGCACCGACGAAGCGCAAGUGACGGUAGGUGCAGAAGAAGGACCGGCCAACUACGUGCCAGCCGCCGCAGUAA